GCCGGCGGGAGCUGUGCGGAUGAAAGGGGAGCAGAGGGGCGCGAAGAGGACCCGGGCAGAGAUGUCUCCACCACACCGCUGGAGUGACCGCGCCCUCCUCCCGCCUUUCUCUGCCUGCUGCGUGCGCAGGUGCAUGUGUGUGCACACACACACACAGGGUCAUGGAGUCCUCCGCUUCCUGUUCAGAUGUCCCCUGGCCUCUGGAGUUGGGGAGGCCAAGGUCAGCAAGCCCUUCAGGAGAGAAAGUGAACAGUCUCCUUCCCUGGACGGGGUCCAGCCAGCCCAGAAUGGUCUUGUCCUGGGGACAUCCCAGAUCACAGGAGUCACCCCAGCGCCCAGGGAUUCACACCCUCCCAGUCCACCCUUCACCAGGGACUGACCCCAGGAGGGAUGAAAGGCAAGCUCCUCUGCUGGGGGUCAGGGCAAGUUCAAAGGUCACACAGCCCUCACAUCGCCCCCCGAGAUCACGAGUCCCCCGGCCGGAGCGAGACAAAGUGAACCCCUCUUGGAUCGUGGGGGCUGCAGAGACCUGCCUGCAAAAGAAGCGAUUACGUCUCGGUGCUCUUCGUUGUAUUAACCAGGCUUCGCCAGCGGCUCACCAGUAA
rnacentral:lncRNA from 1 species